CCUAGGGGUGGCAGCAGUGGGGAAUAUUGGACAAUGGGCGAAAGCCUGAUCCAGCCAUGCCGCGUGUGUGAAGAAGGCCUUCGGGUUGUAAAGCACUUUCAGUGGGGAAGAAAGCCUUGGGGCUAAUACCCUCGAGGAGGGACAUCACCCACAGAAGAAGCACCGGCUAACUCCGUGCCAGCAGCCGCGGUAAUACGGAGGGUGCGAGCGUUAAUCGGAAUUACUGGGCGUAAAGCGCGCGUAGGCGGUCUGAUAAGCCGGUUGUGAAAGCCCCGGGCUCAACCUGGGAACGGCAUCCGGAACUGUCAGGCUAGAGUGCAGGAGAGGAAGGUAGAAUUCCCGGUGUAGCGGUGAAAUGCGUAGAGAUCGGGAGGAAUACCAGUGGCGAAGGCGGCCUUCUGGACUGACACUGACGCUGAGGUGCGAAAGCGUGGGUAGCAAACAGGAUUAGAUACCCAGUAGC
rnacentral:rRNA from 1 species